CCUGCCCUGCGGGGGCGGCCCCCGGCACAGCCGCGCUGCUGCCCGCCCCCCUCAGGGCGGUCGGGGGCCGAGCGCAGGGCCGGGCUGGGCAGCGAGCACGGAGCCGCCUGCCCCUGGGCUCCAGCGCCCAGUGCCCGAGGGAGCCGCCAUGGCCAACGCGGGCUUGCAGCUGCUGGGCUAUUUCCUGGCGCUGGGCGGCUGGGUCGGCACCAUCUGCAGCGCGGCGCUGCCGCAGUGGAAGCAGAGCUCGUACGCGGGGGACGCGAUCAUCACGGCCGUGGGGCUGUGCGAGGGGCUGUGGAUGAGCUGUGCCUCGCAGAGCACGGGCCAGGUCCAGUGCAAGCUGCACGACUCGCUGCUCUCGCUGGGCGUUCACCUCCAGACCUCCCGGGCGCUCAUGGUGGUUUCUAUCCUCCUGGGCUUUGUGGGGGUCAUUGUCAGCGUGGUGGGAAUGAAAUGUACCAAAGUGGGGGACGAGAACCCUGUUAUCAAAAGCCGGAUUGCUGUGGCCGGUGGCAUUCUCUUCCUCAUAGCAGGUCUGUGCACCUUAACAGCUGUUUCGUGGUAUGCAACACAGGUGACCUAUGAAUUCUUCAACCCCAAAACUCCAGUUAAUGCCCGGUACGAAUUUGGUUCCGCCUUGUUUGUUGGCUGGGCAGCUGCCAGCCUGACCAUGCUGGGAGGCUCCUUCCUGUGCUGCUCCUGCCCCACCCCCCCUGAGGAGAAGAGAGGACAGCAGUACUAUAGGCAGUCACAGCCUUCAACAGCUAGGGAGUACGUCUGACCCCCACCUUCCCACCCGCCGCCCAACGUUUCCCUUCCUUCUCAGGCAUGUGCUAGAGAUCGUGGUGUUCCCGGCCACUUCGUCAGUGCAACAGAUACUAGAUCCUUCUUCAGUGCUGCUCAGGCAGCCUUGGGCGGGCCUUCCCAAACCACACACGCUUCUCGGGGGCGCCCCUAAUAGCCUGGGGGGCAGCUCCACUUAUAGCAGAAGCAUCUAAAAUGUUCUUCUCGACAUAGCUCUUGCUUCAGCCAUUGUCAGGUUCUUCCCCUACUAGCUCCGUCUACGCUGGCCUCAUGGCCAGGUUUAUCACCGGUCCAGCAUUGCUUGGCCUCUGCCAUGUUGGCUGGCCAAACAGCUAGAACACUGAAACAUAGGAAUGACCAGGCUGGCACAGACUUGGGGCUCAUCUAGGCCAGCAUCCUGUUUGUGACAGAGGCCAGUCCCAGAUGCUUCAGAGGAAUGGCCAAAACCCAUCACUCAUCACUGGGGAAGUGUUUUCCUAAUUCCUGGCAGACGCGGGUUGAUUCAUCCCAUAUACACUUUUAUCGUAACUCAUGUAAACGCAGCUAUUCUCUAUAUAAAUGUCUGUUUUAAAAAAAAAAUCCUAAUACAUUUUCAAUCUCCAUGAUAUCUUGUGGCAUUGAGUCCCACUGAGUUUUGUGUUGUGUAAAAACAAGUUUUUCUUCUUAGUCUAAAUUUUGUUGUAUUUAAUUUCCUUGGGUCUCCCCUGGUUCUUGUGUUUCCGAGGGGGGAAAUAGGAGGGUCUGGCAGAUGUUCUCUGGGCCAUUAUUCAUUCGAGGUACUUUUAUCAUGUCACCUCUUUUUUAGCUCCUAAUCCUUCCAGGCCUCUGAAGGUUUUGUUGCUCUUCUGUAGCCUUUUUCUACUCUAUCCUUCAGAUGGCCUGGCUGAACCUGAACACAGUACUCCAGGAGAGAGUCUACCACUGAUUUAUUACUGACAUUAGAGGUGUAGUAGCCAUGUGUACUAAACUAAGGUUGCGCCUUUAUACAUCCUGUUGACAGGCACCCUCUGUUUCUAAAGCUUUCGCCUGUCAGAUUGAAAUUCUGCAGCUUUGGUUUAUACCCAAAACAAGUUUUUUGCAAGGCUGAGCACCCAGAGAGUUAGAAGAAAUCCACUGUCAAUUAUAGACAAACUUUUUUUUUAUCUUAGAGCUGAACUGGCUGAGGUUUGACAACUGAAAGUUGGCAUGGGACCCAAUGUAAAAAUGUCUUCUUCACCCAUCAGGGGAGAGCAGUGUUUAUAGUCUGUCUUCACCCAUCAGGGGAGAGCAGUGGUUGUUUGUCUGAACCCAGCUUAUUGUGUUUCCUUCAAAAAAAGUCCAAAAAAUUUAAGUGACACUACUAUAGCAAGGAUUUUAAAAGAAACCUGUGAUACAUUUUCUGAAAGAUCUUUUUAUACAAAGAGUACAGCACUGUGUAUAAGAAUGUUUUUAUUCUUUUAAUUGAAAAUUGUAUUAACUUUUCUAUGGUCCAAAAUAUACUUAAGGGGAAUUAUACAGGUUUGAAUUUCAAAUGUCUUUUGAUUGUUUAUACUAAAAAUCACAACUCAAAGGUUAAUAAAAUAUUUUUGGUCUUUGCCAUCUUUCUAAA